AGCUAUGAUGUUGUAAUUUGCGUCUGACUGGUAGUCAUGACGACAGUUGCCUGCUGUCAGUAUGUCAGACUACUGAACUGUAGACUAAGUAAUCAUCUGAUUGCU